rnacentral:rRNA from 1 species
CGUGAAAUUGUUGAAAGGGAAGCGUUUAUGACCAGACUUGGACUUGGUUAAUCAUCUGGGGUUCUCCCCAGUGCACUUUUCCAGUUCAGGCCAGCAUCAGUUUUCCCCGGGGGAUAAAGGCGGCGGGAAUGUGGCCCUCUUCGGGGCGUGUUAUAGCCCGCCGUGUAAUACCCUGGGGGGGACUGAGGUUCGCGCAUCUGCAAGGUUGCUGGCGUAAUGGUCAUCAACGACCCGUCUUGAAACACGG